rnacentral:rRNA from 1 species
ACGGGUGAGUAACACGUGGGUAACCUGCCUUAAAGUGGGGGAUAACACUUGGAAACAGGUGCUAAUACCGCAUAACCAUCAAAACCGCCUGGUUUUGAUGUUAAAGAUGGUUCUGCUAUCGCUUUAAGAUGGACCCGCGGCGUAUUAGCUAGUUGGUGAGGUAAUGGCUUACCAAGGCAAUGAUACGUAGCCGAACUGAGAGGUUGAUCGGCCACAUUGGGACUGAGACACGGCCCAAACUCCUACGGGAGGCAGCAGUAGGGAAUCUUCCACAAUGGACGAAAGUCUGAUGGAGCAACGCCGCGUGAGUGAAGAAGGUUUUCGGAUCGUAAAACUCUGUUGUCAGAGAAGAACGUGUGUGAGAGUAACUGUUCACGCGGUGACGGUAUCUGACCAGAAAGUCACGGCUAACUACGUGCCAGCAGCCGCGGUAAUACGUAGGUGGCAAGCGUUGUCCGGAUUUAUUGGGCGUAAAGGGAACGCAGGCGGUCUUUUAAGUCUGAUGUGAAAGCC